CUUUAUUAUCAAAGUAAACAUUGUAUCUGUAAAAGAAAUUCCUUUGUUUGCAAGGGGAUAGAAGAUCCAUGGAUCAACAGGAGCAUCUAUUUGCCUAAAACCUUUAAAUUAAAUCUAACUCUGAAACAGUAGACAGAAUUAAGAAAAUGUAUUAAUUACAGACUAGGCCCAAAAGAAUUAGAGCGCACUAAACUGGGAACAAAUACCCAAAAGUCUGAAUGUGUCAAUAGAAUAAUUAGGCGUUCCUUACCUAGAAGUAAUACAUUCAGCAAAAAUUUCCAAGGCAGGGCGAAUAGCGCUGUUUCUUCAGCAAACCAUGGCCCAGGUGAAUCCGUGAUGGCUUUAUGCUUGUCUGUUGGUGCCCCGGUCACAGCUGGAUCUAAAGUUCACACACACACA
rnacentral:lncRNA from 1 species